rnacentral:rRNA from 1 species
CGCCCGUCGCUCCUACCGAUUGGGUGUGCUGGUGAAGUGUUCGGAUUGGCGACCGGGGGCGGUUUCCGCCCUCGGCCGCCGAGAAGUUCAUUAAAACCUCCCACCUAGAGGAAGGAGAAGUCGUAACAAGGUUUCC